rnacentral:misc_RNA from 1 species
GUAAAGAGUCAGUAAAGUCUCAAUGGAGAGUGGUUUAACCAUUCAUAUUGCAAAUAACCAAGUUGUGUUGCUAAAGUUAAUAUUAUCCAUCAUAUCGAGAUAACAUUAUACUACGAGGUAUACCCCCACUCCUACUCCAUAUUCUCUAUCUUUUUUACUUUUUGAUAACAUAUUUAUUUAUAGCGAAGACAUAAGACGUGGAGCAAAGAAGAUGGUG